rnacentral:rRNA from 1 species
AUUGAACGCUGGCGGCAGGCCUAACACAUGCAAGUCGAGCGGAUGAAGAGAGCUUGCUCUCUGAUUUAGCGGCGGACGGGUGAGUAAUGCCUAGGAAUCUGCCUGGUAGUGGGGGAUAACGUCCGGAAACGGGCGCUAAUACCGCAUACGUCCUACGGGAGAAAGCAGGGGACCUUCGGGCCUUGCGCUAUCAGAUGAGCCUAGGUCGGAUUAGCUAGUUGGUGAGGUAAUGGCUCACCAAGGCUACGAUCCGUAACUGGUCUGAGAGGAUGAUCAGUCACACUGGAACUGAGACACGGUCCAGACUCCUACGGGAGGCAGCAGUGGGGAAUAUUGGACAAUGGGCGAAAGCCUGAUCCAGCCAUGCCGCGUGUGUGAAGAAGGUCUUCGGAUUGUAAAGCACUUUAAGUUGGGAGGAAGGGCAGUAAGUUAAUACCUUGCUGUUUUGACGUUACCGACAGAAUAAGCACCGGCUAACUUCGUGCCAGCAGCCGCAGUAAAAC